rnacentral:rRNA from 1 species
AACGAACGCUGGCGGCAUGCCUAACACAUGCAAGUCGAACGAGACCUUCGGGUCUAGUGGCGCACGGGUGCGUAACGCGUGGGAAUCUGCCCUUCGGUUGGGAAUAACUGAGAGAAAUUUCAGCUAAUACCUUAUAAUGUCUUCGGACCAAAGAUUUAUCGCCGAGGGAUGAGCCCGCGUAGGAUUAGGUAGUUGGUGGGGUAAUGGCCUACCAAGCCGACGAUCCUUAGCUGGUCUGAGAGGAUGAUCAGCCACACUGGAACUGAGACACGGCCCAGACUCCUACGAGAGGCAGCAGUGGGGAAUAUUGGACAAUGGACGAAAGCCUGAUCCAGCAAUGCCGCGUAAGUGAUGAAGGCCGUAGGGUUGUAAAGCUCUUUUACCCGGGAUGAUAAUGACAGUACCGGGAGAAUAAGCUCCGGCUAACUCCGUG